UACGGAGGGUGCAAGCGUUGUCCGGAAUUAUUGGGUGUAAAGGGUGCGCAGGCGUCCCGGCAGGUUUUCGGUGAAAUCUUCCCGCUUAACGGGAGAAGGGCCGGAAAAACCGCCGGGAUUGAGUCCGGAAGAGGUUGGUGGAAUUCGUGGUGUAGCGGUGAAAUGCAUAGAGAUCACGAAGAACACCAGUGGCGAAGGCGGCCAACUGGUCCGGUACUGACGCUGAGGCACGAGAGCGUGGGGAGCGAACAGG
rnacentral:misc_RNA from 1 species